GCGCCGGAGUGUAUUGUGGUCAGCUCCCCUAUAUUUUUUUGCUGAUCCGCCCCUGAAGCAGGCAUGCCCUAUCAAUCAGACACUUCUUCCUGCUCAGAUGAUUCCGAAGAUAGAAGCACCAUCCCAGCAGGCAAAUACACUAUGGAAGAAUUCGUUGCCGAGCACAGUGUCAUGCACAAUUUACUUCGGCGGAUCAAUGUGAAGAUUCAGGCCAAAAUCAAAGCACGGCAAGGUGGUACAUCUCGCCGCCGGAAAGGUUUUAAUAGGAGAGUCAUAGAGAGAGAUCAUGGAGAGGGUCAUCAGCGGCUUGUCACCGAUUUCUUUUCUGAUGAUCCAGUCUAUGAUGAAAAAAUAUUCAGGACAAGGUAUCGGAUGAGUAGACCCCUCUUUCUACGUAUUGUCCAUGCGCUAGGCGAGUGGUCUCCCUAUUUCACCAAAAGGGCAGAUAUCUGUUGUCGCCAAGGGUUAUCACCUUUGCAGAAGUGCACAGCGGCUAUUCGUAUGUUAGCUCGUGGCUCCCCGGCAGAUGCUGUUGACGAAUAUGUACAGAUUGGUACGAGCACAGCAAUGGAGUGUUUGGAGCGGUUUGCAGAAGGGGUGAUCGACAAUUUUGGUGGAGAAUAUUUGCGAGGUCCUACUAGUGUUGAUCUGCAGCGUCUACUACAAAUUGGUGAAGGCUAUGACUUCCCUGGCAUGUUGGGAAGCAUUGGUUGUAUGCACUGGGAGUGGGAAAAUUGCCCUCCUAAAUGGAUGCGCCGUCUUAAUCAUAGUGACCACGGCUUUACCACGUUUAUUCUUGAGGCUGUCGCUUCACAAGACCUCUGGAUAUGGCAUGCUUGUUUCAAUGUUGUUGGGUCCAUCAAUGACAUCAGUGCUCUCAAUCAAUCACCGUUGUUCACGUAAGUCUUGAAGGGACAAGCUCCCCCGGUUCAAUUCUCCGUCAAUAAGAGUCAAUAUGAUAUGGGGUACUACCUUGCUGAUGAAAUUUAUCCAGAAAGCACUGUAUUUGUUAAGACGAUACCCUUCCCUCGAACAGAAAAGGAACGAUUGUUUACUAAACAUCAAGAAGAGGCAAGGAAGGAUGUUCAGCGUGCAUUUGCAGUUCUGCAAUCUCGUUUCCCCAUUGUUCGUGGUCCAAUUCGCUUUUUCCAACGAGCAACUCUUGGAAAAAUCCUGGAAGCCUGUGUCAUACUCCAUAACAUGGCAGUUGAGGAUGAGAAAGACAUGGCAAGUGCUUAUUCUGAACCAAACGAAGCUUCAGGUAUAACGGUUGUUUUACCAUCAAACAUCAAAACUGGGCCUGCCAAUUGCUUAACUAAUGUACUUCAGAGGACUGCCAAUAUUUGUAGUCAAGCAGCACAUGGCCAGCUAAGAAGGGAUUUAAUUGAGCAUAUCUGGCAGCAGUUUGGGCCAUUUGGUGACAAGUAAAUAAGUUCUAGUAUUAUUAGUUUACGAAGUCAAGUCGCUUGGUGGGUCACUGAUGUAGAUAUACAGUCAAGCAAAGCACACUAGCUCAUGUUGCUAUCUUUGAUGCUUCCAACUGGGGAAAAGGAAGAUACAUGUUUAUAUGUUAUUAUUAUUACUAUUAUUUCUGGCAGGGGGCUGGUGAUCCGUCUGUUUUAUUGACAUCUAUGUGCUGCAUCAUAUAUAACAGAGGUCUAAAAAAACAUAUAUAACAGAAAGUGUGUGCUGUUAUCAAAAUUAUGGUAGUGUGCAUUGUGCAGGAGAGUGUUGAGCUUGCGUUGCUCAUAUUUCGAAAUGGCCACUCAUCGUUGUUAUUAACAGUAUCUUGUGCAGGAUACAAUUGGCUGUUUAAAUGGCUUUUUGGAAAGAAAAAAAAAAGCUAAUUGUCAGGAUAUAAUGAGACACGGUAACUGACUGUGAGCUAUAAAUUCUGCCACUGGAAAUUGGAAAAACAAAUCCCAUAUAUUUUCGUUCUCUCACAGGAGCAUAACCUUUCAUCAGCAGCUUAUCAGCUGUCACAGCAGAGUUUCAGUAAGAAGCCAUAGAAAUGUCUUAUUCUUCAAAGGAAUCUUCAAUCUGCAUAAGGAACUCUGUGCCUUUGCUGUAGUCUAUGUAUUCUAUAAAGAUUUCAGUGAAGUAUUAUGCUUCCAAAGUAAAACAUCAUCUUCAUCGCCCUAGCUGGUUAGCCUGUGGCAUUACUGAGUUA